rnacentral:piRNA from 1 species
AAACAAGCUCUCAAGGUCCAUUGU